rnacentral:rRNA from 1 species
AACGAACGCUGGCGGCAUGCCUAACACAUGCAAGUCGAACGAGACCUUCGGGUCUAGUGGCGCACGGGUGCGUAACGCGUGGGAACCUGCCCUUAGGUUCGGAAUAACUCCCCGAAAGGGGUGCUAAUACCGGAUAAUGUCUUCGGACCAAAGAUUUAUCGCCUUUGGAUGGGCCCGCGUUGGAUUAGCUAGUUGGUAGGGUAAAAGCCUACCAAGGCGACGAUCCAUAGCUGGUCUGAGAGGAUGAUCAGCAACACUGGGACUGAGACACGGCCCAGACUCCUACGGGAGGCAGCAGUAGGGAAUAUUGGACAAUGGGCGAAAGCCUGAUCCAGCAAUGCCGCGGGAGGGAUGAGGGCCUUAGGGUUGUAAAGCUCUUUUACCCGGGAUGAUAAUGACAGUACCGGGAGAAUAAGCUCCGGCUAACUCCGUG